CAAUAGCGUAUAUUAAAGUUGUUGCAGUUAAAAAGCUCGUAGUUGGAUUUCGGGGCAGCCUGGCUGGUCCGCCGCAAGGCGAGUACUGGUCAGCCGCCCUUCCUCUCGAAAGCCCCGACUGCUCUUCGUUGCAGUGGUCGGGUAGUUCGGGACGUGUACUUUGAAAAAAUUAGAGUGUUCAAGGCAGGCCUACGCCUGAAUACAUUAGCAUGGAAUAAUGGAAGAGGACCUCGGUCCUAUUUUGUUGGUUUCCAGGGCCGAAGUAAUGAUUAAGAGGGACAGUUGGGGGCAUUCGUAUUUAAUUGUCAGAGGUGAAAUUCUCGGAUUUAUGAAAGACGAACAACUGCGAAAGCAUUUGCCAAGGAUGUUUUCAUUAA
rnacentral:rRNA from 1 species